CUACAGACUGCAGAGUCGAUACAGCCUGCAGCUGCCUCUAAUCAGCGGCAGGAGCGCGUGCCAGUCGCGUUGUCACCUGCACAAUUAUAGAAUUUUCCAUAGUCGGGCAGUGAGCUGUCACCAAAAUGGCAAGACUCCAAAAACAGAGCCCACGGACACAGAGUGAGCUCUCUGUCCGCGCGAGAAGUGUCCACCAUAAAUAACUGCCAAUAAAUGUCAACGUUUUUGGCGCAUUAACAUAACAGCUAAGCCGAUUUCGUUGACAGGUGAGUGUCUCUCUCUUCCUCUCUUUCUCUGUCUUGUGAAGCAUCUUCCAGCCAUCCAUCCAUUUGGUGCCUUCUGCCAUCAUUAUUUCUCUGCACAAUUGAAAUAAUCGUCUUUUAAUCGCCAACGCCUCGACGGACUGUCUGGGCCUCCAAUUACCGCUUCAAUCGUUAACUUCUGCGGCUGUCUGGAGCUGGGAUGGUUGGGUGCCAAGAUCUCUAGUUGCAGAGGUCUUCCCUUCCAAUGAUUGCUGGAUGGUGGGAUGGUGAUGCUCAUCAAGGCAGAUCAACAAUUGACGCGGAGGAAGUCACGUGCGGAAGUUUGUUUGGAAAACUUUCUCAGUUUUAAUGGAUCGUUGUUCCAAAGUAGAGUACAGAAAACUUCCGUUUAUAAUUUAGAUGGAAUAUUUUCACUAGUUUUUGUAAGGUUACUCUCGUAUUAACCCAGUUUUUAAGAUUAUUCUGCCAUUUCCUACAUCCCAAAAGCAGACACCAACAAAGUCUCUUCCGCAUCACAAUUACAAUUGCAAUUUGCAGGCUCCAAAUGUGUGAUAUUUCAAUUAAAAUUUAACGGC
rnacentral:lncRNA from 1 species